AAGUUUUACCAGCAGGUUUUACGUUUUUGCUCUUUGCGCAGAAAUUGGCGCAGUUAUUGUACAAGAAUCUGUGCCUGACACAAAUUCUUGUAUCUGUGUAUGACACUAUACAUUUUUUUGACAUAUCAGAAACGAUAUUAGAAAUGAUACAAGAAAAUGCAUAGUGUCAUACAGCCUUUACAGUUUUGCCUCCCAAACGUCAAAAUCAUGGAAUGCCCUAUUCGUUGAUAUGAUAUGUCAUAAUCGUCAAUCACGCACGCACAUAAGGCACAUGCACAUUUACGUCAUUUCCCUUUUUGGAUGUCAAAAUUGCCAGAUCUAAAUACAUUAUUGGGAUAAACCGUAAUCCUACCCCUUCCUAACUGCCAAAGUGUCAUGGCCGCCGUCGGGACCUAUUGUGCUGACAUUUACAAUGUUUACAUAUAGAAAAGUUUGUUUUUUUCUGCUUAUAAUGCCGUUUUCUAAAGAUAUUAGUGAACAAAAUCGAUUUGCUAACAAUAUUUAAUAUAUUUUAAAUGUGCUAAAAUUGGAUUCAACAGCAAAAGUCGCAUAAAUAACAUAUAAAUGACGAAUUUGUUUACCUAUUACAAAUGGGGUUAUGUGGUUGUAACUGUUUAUUUUGGGAAUAAAAUGAAAAUGAUCAAUUAAACGACUGGAAAACUAUAGUGAAGUGAAGAACAUCUUGAAGUUCCAAUGAUGUUUCAAGAUGAGAUAAAUCGAAAUAAUGGUUGUAUGUUAGAAGGACAGAGAAUACGAAGAAAUGUUAUUGCUGCAUACUUAGUGUAGUGAAAUACAAACUUCAAACAUUAUAA